UGGCUUGCCUUAGCAGCUCAUGCGCUAAAAUUGGAUCGAUACAGAGAUAAGCAUGGCCCCUGUGCAAGGAUGACCUGCCAGUUCGUGAAGCCUCAGUGAAUAAA